rnacentral:lncRNA from 1 species
UGCCUGUCUGCCAGACAAAGUCUCUCCCGUCAGCAAAGGGCAGGUGGACACCCAGGAUGGAAAGGAGCCAUUUGAGAGGCACAAGCGUCAGCCUUCUCUGCCCUGCAGCCAGGGGCUGAUGGAGCUGGUGCAGAGGGAAGGAAGACACAGAACGGCUUGUAAUCGUGGAGGACAUGAUCAGAGCUGGAGUUUUGAAUGGGAAACUGCUGACCACGUGCGAGGCGGCUAACAGAUGGAAAAGAACAGAGGCCAUGCGUCCAGUGUGGAGGAGAUGAGGGGGCCUGAGCCAAGGCAGUGGCAGUGAGGAAGGCAGACUGGGGAACGGACUUUUAAAAAUGGAUUUGAAAAUAUCCAUUGAGCACUUCCCCCCACCUCUGACCACUCCAUAUCCACUCCGAUCCCUCCCUCCAAAGCUUCACUCUGCAGCCAAGUGAUCAUUUCAAAGCAGAUCUCAUCACAUCUCCCCUGCUUACCAGCUCUCUGAAGGCUUCUGAAUUCCUUUGAGAUAAAAGUCCACAUUCCUUAACACGGUCUGAAGGCCCCACGGGGUCUGGUCAUCGGCCUGUCCCAUGCUGUUCCUUGCUCUUGCUGCUCCAGCCCAUGUGUUCCCCUAGCACAGGGCCUUUGCACAUGCUGUUCCCUCUCCUGGGAGGCUUUUCCUUCUCCUUCUCCUCCUCCUCCUCUGGUUAACACUCACUCAUUGAGAUCUCAAUUCAAGUAGAUGUCCUGACCUCCCUGAUUAGCUCAAAUUCCCCUAGGGCAGGCAAGCACCCUGUAGCUCUCUUGAUGUCAUCUGUCAUCCCAGUUGUUGUUGUUGUU